GAAUAUUGGACAAUGGGGGCAACCCUGAUCCAGCAAUGCCGCGUGUGUGAAGAAGGCCUGCGGGUUGUAAAGCACUUUCAGUAGGGAAGAAAAGCCUAAGGUUAAUAACCUUGAGUCUUGACGUAACCUAAAGAAGAAGCACCGGCUAACUCCGUGCCAGCAGCCGCGGUAAUACGGAGGGUGCAAGCGUUAAUCGGAAUUACUGGGCGUAAAGCGCACGUAGGUGGUUUGGUAAGUCGGAUGUGAAAGCCCUGGGCUUAACCUGGGAAUUGCAUUCGAUACUGCUUGACUAGAGUAUGGUAGAGGGAAGUGGAAUUUCCUGUGUAGCGGCGAAAUGCGUAGAUAUAGGAAGGAACACCAGUGGCGAAGGCGACCACCUGGACUGAUACUGACACUGAGGUGCGAAAGCGUGGGGAGCAAACAGG
rnacentral:rRNA from 1 species